UCCCGGGGCGGGGGGGAACACACACACACACACACACACACACACACACACAAACCUUCCCUCUGCUUGAUGCCAUAGACAAGAGUCCAAAGGACAUUAGCUGCUCCGUUGCACACAUUGGAGAGAGAGUUCGCUGAGGGCUCUGUCUCUCUAAUAGACUGGUGAUUUGGUAAAAGGUUUUAGAGGGUUUUGUUUAACCAUUUCUGCAUGUGUUUUUAAUGAGCUCAUGAUGCUUCGUAACAAAGGCCAGGUUGUGAGGUUUGCAGCCUUUUUUCGGACCUGAUCCCUUCCCGCUGACCUGCAGAGUGAGCACCUGUGCUCCUUGCCUGGCUCACCUAUGGGAGUCAAGGUGGUGGGGCCAUCUCCGGGCCUGUCUUCAUGCCAGGGAUGAAUCAUGCGGUAGGCAGGGCGGAAGGAGUCUCUUUGUUGACAGCUCUCCAUCUGGACUUUGGAUACGGCCGGCCGUUCAUGGGGAGCCUGGGUGAGCUGGAAAGGACUGCUCGAAUCUGCCCCUCCAUGAAGGCCCGGGGCAGUAAAACACCUGCAAAGGGACUGCCUGGCAUUUCAGUUGCAAAAGCUGAGGAGCGUACCCCCUCCCCCGCCCCAAUUCCAGCCUUCCAACUUGAGUCUAGCCCAAAGCCUGCACUCUAAUACAUAUCAUACUUGAUAUUAAAGUGAGAAGAGGGUGAUUUAUAGGAGCUGCGUGAGAAGCGUGUUCUCCUCAGGGCCAGCCUAUGUGGAGUUGACACCUCUGUUCAGGUAAUGACUUGAAAACCAGUCGCAGGGAGAAUGACCGGGACGGAGAGAGCCUCGUCACGCGCAUCCAACAGCAGCUCUGAACCCGCAUGUCCUGCGCAUGCCUACUGUUCAAAAGGAGAUGGAGCCGAGGGCAGGGUGCCUAUCUCUUCGUGUGCCUGUGACUCUUGGAGGAGCCAUGGUGUGAUGCCACUACGAGCGGCGGUGCCAAUCCCAAUCCCUUACCUGGGAAGCUCGCAUUGGUAUCCUUUAAACGUAUCCCUAGGGCUCCUGGAAACCUGCAACUCUGCCGUCGCGUGGCGAGACUGCGGCAAUCUGAGGCUUGCGUGUGCGAAGAGGAUGUGAGGACUUCUGGACCGCAUCCCUGAAAGCAGAGCUCCUUUACAACCCCGCAGCUCUGGCCCCCAAGUGCCCUGCAACUUCCUCUGGAGGGGCGCCCUUGAUUUCUAAAGCAUCCACAGCCUUGCCUCAGGCAGGACUGACCAGAAGCUGAAAAGAGAAGGCUUGGAAGCUUGCUGGAAAGGUCUUGCUUCUAAAAACCAGAAACCGGGAGGGAGAAAGUUGACGAGAAAUCUGCCCUCUUGUCCUUUGCCGACUAAACCGUGUUGUCUUGUACUCGUGACUUUAUCGUUUCAUCUUUAAAAUAAACCUUUUGAGCCAGA